UCGUAUAACAGAGGUGCGAGGGCUGUCGCUGACUUUUCAAGUCGUGCACGCCCGAGCGCUCUCACACAGUCCACGUCACCCCUAUGUGCACCACCGCGUGGGUCCCCCUUUCAAGGGGGGCUCGCGUUUUCACACAAACUUGAAGUAGUGUAGAAUGUCUUUUUUAUUUGCGAUGACACGCAAUCAAUA
rnacentral:misc_RNA from 1 species